rnacentral:sRNA from 1 species
GGUUUUAAUCGAUAUAUAUUUGGAAGCUAUAUAUUCCUCUAAUUCACUUAAUUGAAACUUAAUUUUUUUUUCCAAAACAAAGUCAAGCCAAAUAUUCCAAACAUUGAAGCAACAAUCUGAAGAAAAUAGCGGCAUACGCCCUUUAGUUAGCCAAUG